AGUAGGUUUGAAAAGAUUUAAUGAUUUACAUAUAAAUUUUCUAAAGCGAAAAACAAGUGCUCUAGAUUUAUUGUUAAAUAAACAAGGGAAAAUUGCCAAAACGGAACAAAAAAACAACAUAGUUGUCCCUAUAGUAUAAAACCAUCACUAAGUUGUCCCUAUAAUAUAAUAUUUUUCAUAAUACCAAAACUAACAUUUCCUUAAUCGAAUUAAACACAAAUUAAAAUCAUUUUUAAAAAGUUUAACGAAAAGAGAUAAAAAAAAUGAGGCGAAUAAUGUUUUAGAAAGAAAAAAAAUGUAAAAACAAUAAAAAAAAAAGAACACAGGACACGGACCAAAAAUAUCCUGUAAACUAAUUACAGUUGGUUUCUACCCUCUCUUUCUCUCUGACGAGAGGAACAAGACACGAUUAUGUGUCUUCGCCGGUGAAAUCGAGCUUCCCUUCCCUUCCGGUGUGACCUCUUCGUCUGUCCCUUUCUCUCAGUCGCUACGCCUCUCCGCCUCUCAGCCUCUGUAUCUAUGCCUCUCUCUUUCUCCAACAUCCCUAGAAGCAAGCCGUGAGAUAAAACUGAGAAACAUAAUAGCUCUUGAGCAGUGCCAUUACCCUAAACACAACCACGUCUGUAGCUACGCCUUAUUCCAUUGACACUGAUAAAGACGUUGACUUGCUUCUCGAGAAAGGAAUACUAAAAAGUUGGAUUUGGCAACCCGCUAACGUUGCGCAGAUGGUGAACAAGCUCGUGACAGUCAUCCUAGAUCCUGGUUCUUACUAUUAUGAUAUAGCGGGUGAAGUCAACAAGUCCUCAAGCGUGUGUAUUUCGGUAACCCGUGGACAGGGACAGCCACCAUCGGCGCUACGUUUCUAUUGGCGAUGACACUUAUCCAGACUUAGGCAUGGACUGUUCAGGUUAAGUAGAAUGAACGUUAGAGAUGCCGUUGCAUCUCUAUCUCUAGUUGGUUUGCAGUUUAACUGGAACUUCCUUAAUUUUCGGAAAACCAGUUUUUUUAACUGAAACUUCCUUAAUUUUCGUAAAACCAGUUUUUUAAUCCGUAGAAGACACCUUCUGCACCGUGUAGAAUCAUAAUAAAAAUCAUGAAUACAAUUUCUACUUCUUGUAGACGUUUGUGUUAAGUUUAGAUUUCGCAUACCCGAAAUUUUAGAAUACUUCAUAAAAGUAGAAACUGUAUUCAAGAUAAAAGUAGAAAUCUUUACAAUUAAUAGAAUUUGCAUUCCUCAUAUUUAGAAUUUUAAUCACAAGUAGAUUGUUUUUUCUAAAAAAAGUAGAUGAACUUGUUUGUUCUGGAAUUCGUUUUCUACUUACCCAUUUUCUGUAGAAGACGAAUUCUACUUUUAGUAGAACGUAAUUUUAAAAUUUUAUUUAUCAAUUUUUUCAACCAAAAAAAAAUAUGUGUUUAUGUAUGUAGGUGUUUUAUUAAUUUUUUAUAUUUUUAAUAUUUUUUUGAAUUUAUAAAAAUAAUUAUUUUAUUAAUUUUCAGAAAUGAAAGGGUAAAAGAGAGAAAAAAAUGGAUAAAAAUGGUUUUAUACCAUAAGGACAACUAUAUUGUUUUUUUUUUCCGUUUUGGCAAUUUCUCCAAUAAACAAAAAGGAAAGAAAAAUCUGUAGCUUUAGAAAAUCUUUUCAAAGCAUGAUUGGUAAAGAUUUAGGGGGUCCUAGUGGAAAUUGGAUUAAUAAUGAGUCUUAGAAUUUUCAAGUUUAGUGUUAUUGGUAUAUAGAUUCUCACAUUCUCAUUUUUUUUGUCAACAACUUUACAGACUCAUAUUCUCACAUUCUCAUUAAAAUCUAGUUUUAUUGGUUUGAUGAUUCUAUAAAUCUAUACAAAAUCAUUUGUUAUUCAAAAAGUUUGGAUUUUAAUGAUUCUACAAAUCUAUUAAAGUAAGUGUUAUUGGGAGUUGAAUUCUUAACAUUUUAACUCACAAAACAAGAUUUUGAGAAUACUACAUGUUUCCCUUGAAUUCUUAAAAUCAUGACAUUAAUUUAUUUUCAUUGAUUUUCACAAUAUAAAAAAUUCUCUAGUACAACUCUUUCCAAAUUUAACAAAUUUCUCAACUUUUAAAAUCAACAAACUCUAUAGAAAUCUAAGUCCCACUAAAAUCAAUAAAUCUCUCAACUUUUAAAAUCAACAAACUCUAUAGAAAUCUACAACACUUUUAAAGCACUUCCCAAUCAACCCCAUAGUUCA